rnacentral:rRNA from 1 species
AGUGAACGCUGGCGGUAGGCCUAACACAUGCAAGUCGAACGGCAGCACAGUAAGAGCUUGCUCUUACGGGUGGCGAGUGGCGGACGGGUGAGGAAUACAUCGGAAUCUACUUUUUCGUGGGGGAUAACGUAGGGAAACUUACGCUAAUACCGCAUACGACCUACGGGUGAAAGCAGGGGAUCUUCGGACCUUGCGCGAUUGAAUGAGCCGAUGUCGGAUUAGCUAGUAGGCGGGGUAAAGGCCCACCAAGGCGACGAUCCGUAGCUGGUCUGAGAGGAUGAUCAGCCACACUGGAACUGAGACACGGUCCAGACUCCUACGGGAGGCAGCAGUGGGGAAUAUUGGACAAUGGGCGCAAGCCUGAUCCAGCCAUACCGCGUGGGUGAAGAAGGCCUUCGGGUUGUAAAGCCCUUUUGUUGGGAAAGAAAAGCAGCAGGUUAAUACCCCGCUGUUCUGACAGUACCCAAAGAAUAAGCACCGGCUAACUUCGUG